UACGGGAGGCAGCAGUGGGGAAUAUUGCACAAUGGGCGCAAGCCUGAUGCAGCCAUGCCGCGUGUAUGAAGAAGGCCUUCGGGUUGUAAAGUACUUUCAGCGGGGAGGAAGGCGAUGCGGUUAAUAACCGCGUCGAUUGACGUUACCCGCAGAAGAAGCACCGGCUAACUCCGUGCCAGCAGCCGCGGUAAUACGGAGGGUGCAAGCGUUAAUCGGAAUUACUGGGCGUAAAGCGCACGCAGGCGGUCUGUUAAGUCAGAUGUGAAAUCCCCGGGCUUAACCUGGGAACUGCAUUUUGAAACUGGCAGGCUUGAGUCUUGUAGAGGGGGUAGAAUUCCAGGUGUAGCGGUGAAAUGCGUAGAGAUCUGGAGGAAUACCGGUGGCGAAGGCGGCCCCUGGGACAAAGCUGACGCUCAGGU
rnacentral:rRNA from 1 species